ensembl:snRNA U6 U6 spliceosomal RNA
GCUCGCUUUGGCAGAGCAUAUACUAAAAUUGCAACAACAUAGAGAAGAUUAGCAUGGCCCCUGCAUAAGGAUGACAUACAAAUUUGUGAAGCCUUCCAUAUCUUU